AUGGGGUCCCUUAACAUUUGGCGCGCUGCUUGGGUUUCAUCCUGCAUUUUAAACACUGUGGUCUUUCUUCAUUUUUUGCUUUUAGAUGCCUGCCUGAAAGCCAACUUAAUCGUUCAUAACGCUAAGCAGGAUUGCCAUGUAGACCAGAUGUACAAACGUCAUGGCAGCCAUUCUCUUUCUGAAGUCAAGAUGCGAGAGUAUCCGGGAAGCAUCUGGAGCCAUCCGUUUCCAAGGAGAGAGCACCAGGUCAGGAAUAUAAGCGCCACCAGGGCAAGAAUGUCUGUUUAUUUUCGCUAUAUGAGUAAAUUACAGCGCUGGGAUUGAGAACGAUGUCGCCGCAGUCCAACUACCUCGGCCUGAAUCUCAGUUGAAUCAGCUGGUGGACUUUGGUAAGUUAAUAUUUAGCUGUUUUUGUGCCUCCGUAGCCCCCUCUGUAAAAUGGGGGGGGGGAGCAAAUCAACGAUUACGCCUGCAUCAUGGGAUUGUUGUCGUAAAAGAGGCGAUACGGGAGAAGUGUUGAGAGCAGCGACGAGUGGAGAGCAAAUGUUCAAUAAACGAAGCUUAGUGCUAGCCA
rnacentral:lncRNA from 1 species